rnacentral:misc_RNA from 1 species
GAAAGAAGCUAAAAAGCGGCAACGGCUUGCUGAUGACUUCACUAAAUUAUUGUAUACUUACAAGGUAAGGAAAUGUUGUGCAUAGUCCUGUCUUCUGUCUCUAUUGGAGCCUACUAGGGUUAUGAUGUCUUGCAGGAGAUAACUGCAUCUUCUAGUUGGGAUGAUUCCAAACAACUUUUUGAAGAAAGCCAGGAGUAUAGAUCAAUUGGGGAAGAGAGUUUUAGCAGAGAGAUUUUUGAAGAAUAUGUUGCACACUUGCAGGAAAAGGCUAAAGAGAAGGAACGCAAACGCGAGGAAGAAAAGGUGCCUACAUUUUUCCUUGUACUUGAGAAGUCUGUGGGAGUCUGGCUGUUUGCUGCCUUGGCAAUCUUUUUGUGUUCUUCCUUGGCUUGAAUGCGGCAUCUUGUGUUCAGUAUAAAAGAUUUUUCCAGAAUUCAGUUCUUUAUCUGUUUUACUAUCAACAGGCCAAAAAGGAGAAAGAGAGGGAGGAAAAAGAGAAGCG